rnacentral:rRNA from 1 species
GACGAACGCUGGCGGCGUGCUUAACACAUGCAAGUCGAACGGUAAGGCCCUUUGGGGUACACGAGUGGCGAACGGGUGAGUAACACGUGGGUGAUCUGCCCUGCACUUCGGGAUAAGCCUGGGAAACUGGGUCUAAUACCGGAUAGGACCACUGCCUGCAUGGGUGGUGGUGGAAAGCUUUUGCGGUGUGGGAUGGGCCCGCGGCCUAUAAGCUUGUUGGUGGGGUGAUGGCCUACCAAGGCGACGACGGGUAGCCGGCCUGAGAGGGUGACCGGCCACACUGGGACUGAGAUCCGGCCCAGACUCCUACGGGAGGCAGCAGUGGGGAAUAUUGCACAAUGGGCGCAAGCCUGAUGCAGCGACGCCGCGUGAGGGAUGACGGCCUUCGGGUUGUAAACCUCUUUCAGCACCGACGAAGCGCAAGUGACGGUAGGUGCAGAAGAAGGACCGGCCAACUACGUGUCAGCAGCGCCGUAA